rnacentral:rRNA from 1 species
UACGAAGGGGGCUAGCGUUGUUCGGAAUCACUGGGCGUAAAGCGCAUGUAGGCGGGUUGGAAAGUCGGGUGUGAAAUCCCGAGGCUCAACCUCGGAACUGCACUCGAAACUGCUGGUCUCGAGUCCCGGAGAGGGUAGUGGAAUUCCCGGUGUAGGGGUGAAAUCCGUAGAUAUCGGGAGGAACACCAGUGGCGAAGGCGGCCACCUGGACGGUGACUGACGCUGAGACGCGAAAGCGUGGGGAGCAAACAGG